UGGCGGACGGGUGAGUAAUGUCUGGGAAACUGCCCGAUGGAGGGGGAUAACUACUGGAAACGGUAGCUAAUACCGCAUAACGUCGCAAGACCAAAGAGAGGGACCUUCGGGCCUCGCGCCAUCAGAUGAACCCAUAUGGGAUUAGCUUGUAGGUAAGGUAACGGCUUACCUAGGCGACGAUCCCUAGCUGGUCUGAGGGGAUGAUCAGCCACACUGGGACUGAGACACGGCCCAG
rnacentral:rRNA from 1 species